rnacentral:RNase_P_RNA from 1 species
UAGUGCCACAGAAAAUAGGUAGCCCUCUGCAGGGGGAACCCCACUGCAGAGGGUCAUAGUGAAAAGGUGGUGUAAGAGACCACCGGCGGGCCAGGUGACUGGCCCGGCCAGGCAAACCCCAUCGGGAGCAAGGCCAAGCAGGAGGUGCCCAAGGGCUAAACCCUUUGGGCCGGGGGCUGCUCGUCCCUGACUCUCCAGGUAGGCCGCCUAGAGAGAUGGCCACCGGCCCACGGAUGCCCCGUGGGCUACAGAAUUCGGCUUAUCGGCCCGCUCGCUCG